UACGUAGGGGGCAAGCGUUGUCCGGAUUUACUGGGCGUAAAGAGCGUGUAGGCGGCCACGCAGGUCCGUUGUGAAAACUGGAGGCUCAACCUCCAGCUGUCGACGGAAACCGUGUGGCUAGAGUCCGGAAGAGGAGAGCGGAAUUCCUGGUGUAGCGGUGAAAUGCGCAGAUAUCAGGAAGAACACCAAUGGCGAAGGCAGCUCUCUGGGACGGUACUGACGCUGAGACGCGAAAGCGUGGGGAGCGAACAGG
rnacentral:rRNA from 1 species